UGCGUUUGGAUAACAUCCUUUUUCGAUUGGGUAUGGCUUCCACUAUUCCCGCAGCCCGUCAAUUAGUUAACCAUCGACAUAUUUUAGUUAAUGGUCAUAUAGUAGAUAUACCGAGUUAUCGCUGCAAACCCCGAGAUAUUAUUACGGCAAAGGAUGAACAAAAAUCCAGAGCUCUGAUUCAAAUUUCUCUCGAUUCAUCCCCUCAUGAGGAAUUACCAAAUCAUUUGACCCUUCAGCCAUUCCAAUAUAAAGGAUUAGUCAAUCAAAUAAUAGAUAGUAAAUGGGUCGGUUUGAAAAUAAAUGAAUUGCUAGUCGUAGAAUAUUAUUCUCGUCAGACUUAAACCUCAGACUUAAACCAAGGGUUCGCAAAAAUUUCUUCCCUUUAGGCGAAGUAAAUUAACCCAAGGUUAAGUAAGUUAAGUAAGAUCAAUCCGAGUUUGAUCUAGAUUUCCCCCAUUUUUGUAUCAUAGACCAAGGAUCUAUUUUCAUUCCUUGUCUAUUCUUUUCUUUCCAGUAUUUUGAUUAUGAUUAUUUUUGAGUAUUCUAUUUUACGCGUCACAGCAAUUAGGAAUUGAGAAUCUAUAUCUUUAGAUCAAAGAAGGGUCUAGCUGUUGGAAUAAUGGUAUACAAUGCUAUUUGAGUCCUUGUUGUUAGUAAAAUUGGUGAAUUAAGCGAAGGUACGGAAAGAGAGGGAUUCGAACCCUCGGUAAACAAAAGCCUACAUAGCAGUUCCAAUGCUACGCCUUGAACCACUCGGCCAUCUCUCCUACAUAAUGAUUAUGACCCCAAAACCGAGUGAAUAGCGAGUCAGUCAUAAUCCAUAUUCCAUUAUUGGAUAGGUACGACCAAUCCAUUUUAACUGAAAAUUUGUCAUCAAAGUCAAAGCAAAGAACGGUUUUUCUUUCCUUCGAGGCUCCGGGAUAAAGAUACAAUUUUUACGAAAAAUUGUUCAAAAAAAUUCAAUUCAUGUUUGCAAAAACAACGUUCCCUUCUUUUUCUGAUAUUUUUCUAUUUUUAUAACGGAUUAAUUCAAUGAAUUAGAACGAAUCAACUGAUUGAUGGUCUAUAUCUUUUAGACUAUAGUUAAUGGAUACUCUUAAAUCAUAACUGUAAUUAUAAUUAUAUAGACUAUGAUUCCAUACCAGAAAAUUUUUUUAAUUCCUUUUCGGUUUUGGAGUUCUCAACAACAAAUACCUACCCCUCUAUUAGAAUAGAAAUUCAUCAAAAAUUUAGAUUCGAUUGUAUAGUGUAUACCCGUUAUGUACACAAAAUUGGCAGUUAUUCUAUUUUCAUCAUAGAAUGAUUAGUCGAUCUUUUUUCUUCUUUGUAAUUUGUAUCAUGAUUCAAUCAAAAUUUCUCGAGUUCUUCUAAUUUGUAACUUCACCGAAAUCGGAAUAGUUCCUAUACUACUACAUUAGUAUGAAAUCGAAUCGCGUUGAAAUAUUUCUUAUUUCUUAUUUCUUCUCGAUUCCUGUCAAAAAGGAACAAUUGGAAUAGAGGAUUCAUAUCUUUUGUUUUUUUGUUAAAAAAAAGAAGUUUUUAUGUUAUUUCGUACUAUACAAUUCUUUUCUUUGUGGGAUCUUUUUCCCACGAGAGGUAAUGAAAAGAAUUCUAGAAUGGAUUGCUACCUAUGCCUAGAUCACGGAUAAAUGGAAAUUUUAUUGAUAAGACCUUUUCAAUUGUAGCCGAUAUCUUAUUACGAGUAAUUCCGACAACUUCCGGAGAAAAAGAGGCAUUUACCUAUUACAGAGAUGGUGCGAUUUGAUUCUUUUUUUUUUGAUUUUAUAUUUAUUCAUUUCUCUCAGUCUUACGAGGAGAAAAACACAUGAUUCGAGAAAAAAAAUCUACGCUUUUUGAAGGUGAAGUUUGGAAAUAGAACAAUUCCUUCUGUCGUGUAUCCUCGAUUAAUGCAACCUCAGAUGCUAUGUUUCAAUUAUAGAUUCUAGUAUUAAGCGAAAGGUUACGCCUAGAGGUUCUGUAUUACGGGUCAAUCCUACUCUACUAGCGCUAAUAGGCAGCAUAGGGGAAGAAGCGCUACACCUAGGAAUCAACAACACGAAAACUUUGUUCUAAGUCAGCCCUUUUCUUAGCGGGCUUGGGACUAAAAGAAUGGUUGGGACAACAAACAUCCAUCUCGUUCGUCCUUUGGAUACCCGUAUAACCAUCGAAGGCUAUUGAAGUGACUAAUUCCUGGAAAUUAGGAGGCGUUAAAAACAAAAAAAUUGUGGGAGUUAUCUUAUCAUUUCUAUCUAGUCCCAAUAGGCUUGAUGUUAAGAAAGAAUCUCUUGCAGGAAGGUUGGCUAGAGAUUUCUUGUAAAAACACUAGCCCUGCUGAGUUCAUAAUGAGAAUAUUUUCAUCGUUGAAUCUUUUUUGAUUCUAUGUAUUAUUCUCAUUAUGCACAUAAGGGAGGAGCCGUAUGAGGUGAAAAUCUCACGUACGGUUCUGGAACGGAGAUUCUUUCAAUUGAAUGACGACCGUAACGGAUGUCGGCUCAAUCCG
rnacentral:lncRNA from 1 species